rnacentral:rRNA from 1 species
UACGUAGGGGGCUAGCGUUGUCCGGAUUUAUUGGGCGUAAAGAGCGUGUAGGCGGCCAGGUAGGUCUGGUGUGAAAACUCGAGGCUUAACCUCGAGAUGUCAUCGGAAACCAUCUGGCUAGAGUCCGGAAGAGGAGAGUGGAAUUCCUGGUGUAGCGGUGAAAUGCGCAGAUAUCAGGAAGAACACCAAUGGCGAAAGCAGCUCUCUGGGACGGUACUGACGCUGAGGCGCGAAAGCGUGGGGAGCGAACAGG